UUAGGAAUCUUCCACAAUGGGCGAAAGCCUGAUGGAGCGACGCCGCGUGAGGGAUGAAGGCCUUAGGGUUGUAAACCUCUAAAAGAGGGACGAUAAUGACGGUACCUCUUGAAUAGCACCGGCUAACUCCGUGCCAGCAGCCGCGGUAAUACGGAGGGUGCAAGCGUUAUCCGGAAUCACUGGGCGUAAAGGGCGCGUAGGCGGUCAGUUAAGUCCGAUGUUAAAUCCCGGGGCUCAACCCCGGAUAAGCGUUGGAUACUGGCAGGCUAGACGGUUGGAGAGGAAAGUGGAAUUACCAGUGUAGCGGUGGAAUGCGUAGAUACUGGUAGGAACGCCCAUUGCGAAGGCAGCUCGCUGGACGACACGUGACGCUGAGGCGCGAAAGUGUGGGGAG
rnacentral:rRNA from 1 species